rnacentral:rRNA from 1 species
GUAGGUGGCAAGCGUUGUCCGGAAUUAUUGGGCGUAAAGCGCGCGCAGGCGGUCCUUUAAGUCUGAUGUGAAAGCCCACGGCUCAACCGUGGAGGGUCAUUGGAAACUGGGGGACUUGAGUACAGAAGAGGAAAGCGGAAUUCCACGUGUAGCGGUGAAAUGCGUAGAGAUGUGGAGGAACACCAGUGGCGAAGGCGGCUUUCUGGUCUGUAACUGACGCUGAGGCGCGAAAGCGUGGGGAGCAAACAGGGAUUAGAUACCCUGGUAGUCCACGCCGUAAACGAUGAGUGCUAAGUGUUAGGGGGUUUCCGCCCCCUUAGUGCUGCAACUAACGCAUUAAGCACUCCGCCUGGGGAGUACGGCCGCAAGGCUG